UACGUAGGGGGCAAGCGUUGUCCGGAAUCAUUGGGCGUAAAGCGCGCGUAGGCGGCCCGGUAAGUCCGUUGUGAAAGUCAAAGGCUCAACCUUUGAACGCCGAUGGAUACUGCCGGGCUAGAGUCCGGAAGAGGCGAGUGGUAUUCCUGGUGUAGCGGUGGAAUGCGCAGAUAUCAGGAGGAACACCAAUAGCGAAGGCAGCUCGCUGGGACGGUACUGACGCUGAGGCGCGAAAGCGUGGGGAGCGAACAGG
rnacentral:rRNA from 1 species